AAUAAUCUUAUAAUAUAACCGUACUUAAACAUACAAUUGACCAGCUUAACUUCUGAAGCUAAAUUCAGGUUAAAAAAAGAAAAGAAAAUUACAAUAAAUAUUAUUCCUAAAAAUUAGCCAGAAAAUACCUGCUGAGGAUUGGGACUAUCACGAAGCACUUCAAGACUGGAAACCCUAGUCUCCAAGACGCUACAUUUCUCCUUCAACUGUACUCCAAAACAAAAAAAAAUCAACAUUUCUUUUCCCCAAAAAAAAAUUAAUAAUAAUAAUAAUGGUUUUUGGUCAGAGAAAUUACUUGGGAAGAAAGAGAGAAUCGAUCAGCCCAUAGAUCUUUGAAUAUGAAGUGAGUCACUGUAGCUGAAACGGAAGUGAGACCUAUUGUGAACCAUAGCAACCUCGUUCGCAUCAUCUUCUCCUUCCUCUUUUCUUUGAUUCUCUAAAACUGCGAGAAAAUAGAGUCAAAGAGUGUAGGAGCUUUCAUGGAUUUUCAUACUUUGACACCUUAAAUAACUUUUUUGUUUUC
rnacentral:lncRNA from 1 species